UUGGACACUUCUCCCAUCAAAAGUUGAAGUCCAGUUCCUCUCCCCUUACAUCUGGACUGGUCUUCAAGUGUUAGUUUUAACCAGUAAAUUAUGGUAUAGGUGAAGGGGUUAUGAUUUCUGAAACUAGGUCUAAAAAGGUAAGCAGUUUGCACCUAGGUCUCUUGUAACCCUCACUUUUGGGAUGCUCCCUUUCAGAACCUAACCAUCAUGUUGUGAGAAGCCCAAGUCAUAUGAAAAAGCCAUGCAUGGGUGCUCUGACUGACAGCACCAGCAUCACUACACUGCCUGCCUUGUGAAUGAGCCAUUUAGGAUGUCCAACCCGAUUGAGUCUUCAAGUGACUUUUGGCUUUCAUCCAACUAUACUGCACAACAGACUCCAAGGAGGAGCCACCCAGAAGAGUCAUGGUUAUUUUCAGUUACCAAGGCUGGCAGACCUCCCCAUCAGGGAAUGAAGAGAAGCAAGAGGAAGUUAAAAAAUAUAUAUAUGGAACGUUGGAUCCCCUCCCCCCAAUUUAUGUAUAUACUAUUUUCUACACACUUUUAAAAUAAAGGCUCUUAAAAUUAAAAUCA
rnacentral:lncRNA from 1 species